rnacentral:rRNA from 1 species
AGUGAACGCUGGCGGCAGGCCUAACACAUGCAAGUCGAACGGCAGCACAGGAGAGCUUGCUCUCUGGGUGGCGAGUGGCGGACGGGUGAGGAAUGCGUCGGAAUCUGCCUAUUUGUGGGGGAUAACGUAGGGAAACUUACGCUAAUACCGCAUACGACCUACGGGUGAAAGUGGGGGACCGCAAGGCCUCACGCAGAUAGAUGAGCCGACGCCGGAUUAGCUAGUUGGCGGGGUAAAGGCCCACCAAGGGGACGAUCCGUAGCUGGUCUGAGAGGAUGAUCAGCCACACUGGAACUGAGACACGGUCCAGACUCCUACGGGAGGCAGCAGUGGGGAAUAUUGGACAAUGGGCGCAAGCCUGAUCCAGCCAUGCCGCGUGUGUGAAGAAGGCCUUCGGGUUGUAAAGCACUUUUGUCCGGAAAGAAAAGCAUUCGGCUAAUAACCGGGUGUUAUGACGGUACCGGAAGAAUAAGCACCGGCUAACUUCGUGCCAGCCGCCGCCGUAAAAC